rnacentral:rRNA from 1 species
GUGCAUUAGCUAGUUGGUGAGGUAACGGCUCACCAAGGCCACGAUGCAUAGCCGACCUGAGAGGGUGUUCGGCCACAUUGGGAAUGAGACACGGCCCAAACUCCUACGGGAGGCAGCAGUAGGGAAUAUUCGGCAAUGGACGAAAGUCUGACCGAGCAACGCCGCGUGAGUGAAGAAGGUUUUCGGAUCGUAAAACUCUGUUGAUAGAGAAGAACAAGGGUGAGAGUAACUGUUCACCCCUUGCUGGUAUCUAACCAGAAAGCCACGGCUAACUACGAGCCACCAGCCGCGGUAAUACGUAGGUGGCAAGCGUUGUCCGGAUUUAUUGGGAGUAAAGCGAGCGCAAGCGGUUUCUUAAGUCGGAUGUGAAACCCCCCGGCUCACCGGGGAGGGCAUUGGAAACUGGGAGACUUGAGUGCAGAGGAGGAGAGUGGAAUUCCAUGUGUAGCGGUGAAAUGCGUAGAUAUAUGGAGGAACACCAGUGGCGAAGGCGGCUCUCUGGUCUGUAACUGACGCUGAGGCUCGAAAGCGUGGGUACCCUGGUAGUCCACGCCGUAAACGAUGAGUGCUAAGUGUUGGAGGGUUUCCGCCCUUCAGUGCUGCAGCUAACGCAUUAAGCACUCCGCCUGGGGAGUACGACCGCAAGGUUGAAACUCAAAGGAAUUGACGGGGGCCCGCACAAGCGGUGGAGCAUGUGGUUUAAUUCGAAGCAACGCGAAGAACCUUACCAGGUCUUGACAUCCUUUGACCACUCGUGAGAUGUUGGGUUAAGUCCCGCAACGAGCGCAACCCUUAUUGUUAGUUGCCAUCAUUUAGUUGGGCACUCUAGC